CUUGGAACGGUCAACUUGUCGUCACUCACAGCAAAAAACUUCUAUGCUUGUUGCUCACAGUAAGAAGCAUUGGUGCCACAACAUUGCGUAGCUUCAAGAUUUAAAUUCCCAAAGAAAUGGGAUAACCUUUCACAGAAAUAGAAUGAAAAUGGAAGCCCACCUGUACCAUAUGAGGAUUUGUCCUGAUGCACAGACUGUCCCAAAUCACAUGCAAACACUAGUGGAGUCAAACAGAAGUCAAACAGACCUGCAUCUGCUCUGUAUUGUACUGAAAACCAGGAGAAAUGCUGGAGCCUCAGCUGUGAAGACAGAGCUUUGGUCCGGAAUUCGAAAGCCACAUUGUUGAUCUCCUAUCAAUGCUGCUGUUGAUUUGCUUAGAUUUUCAUGAGAGAGUUUGAU